UGAGUGUUGGGUAUGAGUGUUCAGUAAUUGAGAUUAGAUGGCAUAUUUGUUCUGUGCAGGAUGGCACUUGUGUUGACUGACCCGCAUCCCUGCAUUUCCCAUGGAUAUCAAGCAGUCAUGCAGCUCAUCCAAGUUGUACCUGAAUCCACGUAGAGAGAAAAGGUCCAAAGCAAUCGGAAAAUCCUACUUCUCUUGUUGGUGUUGGGGAACUCAGGUGUCAGCCAAACAACGCGGCGCACCCCCCUGGUGGCAGUUUUAGGGCGUAUAACCUACAUGGCCUAGUCCAACACCAUGGAAUUUCACUGGGCAGAGGUGGGUCCUUGUGCAGGAUACAAACAAGAAGACAAGUAGUUUUGAUCAAAACUAGUAAUUAUCUUAAAACCAUGAGGUUGGAAGCCACUUUAGAUUAAAAAUGUUCCUGGAACAAUGGACAGAACAAAACAUCAAUGCUAAUGACCGAGAAAAACAGAUAGUUCAUUCUACUUUGGACUGUCUGCUAUGUAGGCCCCCCAAUUCCCAUUUUAUUUAGUCAAAUUUGAAUUUGCUUUUAUGUAAAAUGCAGCCAAAAUUACCAUUUUAGAUAAAUUUUAUUGUGCAUAUUUGAGAUUUACAACACACUAGUACUGGAGACAUAGAUAAUAAAGUGGUUAUUAUAGUGAAAUAAAUUGGGGUAAAACUUUGUUUCCCUAACAUGAAACAGUUGCCAAGAACAGUUAAGUAAUAUUCAUUACAUUAAAACAAAUACUUGAGUUGUUUAUUGAUUUACUUAUUUUUACUUUUUAAUGUUACAUUGAAGCACAUACAAGAGGAAGUGAGGAGAAAGGGAAAAAAAA
rnacentral:lncRNA from 1 species